CCAGGUCUCCCGGCAACGCUGCGGCCCCGCCCACGUCAUGGCGCCCGAGGAGAACGCGGGUACCGAACUCUUGCUGCAGGGUUUCGAUCGCCGCUUCCUGGCGGCGCGCACACUGCGCUCCUUCCCCUGGCAGAGCUUAGAAGCAAAGUUAAAAGACUCAUCAGAUUCUGAGCUGCUGCGGGAUAUUUUGCAGAAGACUGUGAAGCAUCCUGUGUGUGUGAAGCACCCACCGUCAGUCACGUGUGCCCGGUGCUUUCUCUCAGAACUCAUCAAGAAGCAUGAGGCUGUCCACACGGAGCCUUUGGAUGAGCUGUACAAGGCGCUGGCAGAGACUCUGAUGGCCAAGGAGUCCACCCAGGGCCACCGGAGCUAUUUGCUGCCCUCGGGAGGCUCGGUCACACUCUCUGAGAGCACAGCCAUCAUCUCCCACGGUACCACAGGCCUGGUCACAUGGGACGCCACCUUGCAGAAUGGGCCAUCGAGAACCCGGCAGCCUUCACUAACAGGUGACCUCGGGGCACAGGGCAGGGCACCGAGGCAGGCUUACCCUGGUGCAGUCGAAGACACGGUCCCCUUUCCUCCCGCCAGGACUGUCCUUGAACUUGGCAGUGGUGCCGGCCUCACAGGCCUUGCCAUCUGCAAGAUGUGCCACCCCUGGGCAUACAUCUUCAGCGACCCUCACAGCCGGAUCCUCGAGCAGCUCCGAGGGAAUGUACUUCUCAAUGGCCUCUCAUUAGAGGCAGACAUCACUGCCAACUUAGACAGCCCCAGGGUGACAGUGGCCCAGCUGGACUAGGACGUAGCGAUGGUCCAUCAGCUCUCUGCCUUCCAGCCAGAUAUUGUCAUUGCAGCAGACAUGCUGUAUUGCCCAGAAGCCAUCGUGUCGCUGGUCGGGGUCCUGUGGAGGCUGGCUGCCUGCCAGGAG
rnacentral:sRNA from 1 species